UGGGACUGAGACACGGCCCAGACCCUACGGGAGGCAGCAGUGGGGAAUAUUGGACAAUGGGCGAAAGCCUGAUCCAGCCAUGCCGCGUGCAGGAUGAAGGCCUUCGGGUUGUAAACUGCUUUUGUACGGAACGAAAAGCCUCUUUCUAAUAAAGAGGGGUCAUGACGGUACCGUAAGAAUAAGCACCGGCUAACUACGUGCCAGCAGCCGCGGUAAU
rnacentral:rRNA from 1 species